rnacentral:lncRNA from 1 species
GUUUGUUCUCAUCAUUGCUGAUUUUAUUCAUGAGGUUGUCAACUAGGUCAGUAAUUCUUCAAAACAAAUGUUGGGGAAGCAUAGGAAAGAACCUGCAUUUUGCCAGGAGGGUGCACAGUCUAAUAGGUGAAAGGAACCACCACUGAGUACCCCUGGGUUAAACCUGGCUGGUGCUGCCCGCCAGCCUACAUCAGAACUGAUCUUCCAUGGUUACCUUCACAUCAGGCAUAAGGUUAUGCCCCAGGAGAUGUUUCACCGUGCAGGAGGAGGUUCCCCUGGAUAGAAAAGCCAUUAGCAAAUUCAUGAAUCAGAGUUCUGUUUUUA